AAUCACAAAGCGACAUUGAUUGGCUAGUUGGAUGGCUUUUGGCUCAGCGAUCAGGUUGCCUUGGUAGUGCAUUAGCUGUAAUGAAGAAAUCAUCAAAAUUCCUUCCGGUAAGAAUCUGAACUUGACAUGUUCUCUAAAUGUGGUUGAGGUGAAGCAUUUUAAGUUAAUUAGUUAAAUUCAGAUCAUGCCAGUUCAGUUCUUGAUGGAGUGGCCUUCUGUCUCAAAAGUUCAAUGCAUGUUAAUUCGUGAAUUUGGUGAAUUCAGUGAAGGUUUAUUGUGAUCUGUAUUUAAAAUACAUGAAAUUAUAACAAGUUUGGAUCAUUGCUCUAUUGUCUCCUCUCCUCUAUUUAUGAUUUAUUACUGUUUACAUGUCAUGUCCCUUACUCAUUAUCAUUUGCCUUGUCUUUUGAACACCUCAAUACCUUCAAAGAUAUAUUCGGAAUGAUAAAACUAUAUCCAACAUAUGCAGGUCAUAGGUUGGUCUAUGUGGUUUUCUAAGUAUCUAUUUCUUGAAAGAAGCUGGGCUAAGGAUGAAAGAACUUUAAAGGUAUGGGUGUACUUAAUACAUUUAUGAACAAAUGCUAUGUGUUUGUAGGUUUGUGAUGCUCGCUUUCAAGGGGCCUUAAUUGAUCUCAUUCAAAUCUUGUGGGAUUGAAUCUGCAGCCAGGUCUUCAGCAAUUACAGGAUUUUCCUCUGCCAUUUUGGUUGGCACUUUUUGUAGAAGGAACUCGCUUUACACAGGCAAAGCUUGAAGCAGCUCAGGAGUAUGCAGCUUCAGCAGGGUUGCCUGUUCCUAGAAAUGUUUUGAUUCCUCGUACCAAGGUAAUACUUUCAUUUCACCUCUUUAUAAGGUAGAAGGCUACAUUUUCCCCUGAUGUAAUUUCCUGGUUCUCUUUGAAUCCAUUUUCUUUUGGCUAGUUUGUGAACAACUUCCUUCCCACUAAGUGUCUAAAAUUUCUUCUAUAAAUAUCCACAUGCGUACCUGUUGAUUGUGUGCAAAAUUGUGCACUUCUGAUUUUGGUUUGUGGCUAAAUUUGGAGGCUUAAACCUUCUGAGCAAAGGGUUUUCCUAUGUUGUGGUUGGAUUUCCAUUUGUAGUACAUAAAAUAUUGGAAGUAAAUUUUCAAUAAAAUUAAAUUGUAAAAUGUAUACUCAAGAUGAGGCUGUUAUAAAAUUUCCUUAGUUUUUGCUACUACAUGUUCCAAUGUCCGUCUUUGUGUCUGAUAUUUUGCAUGUUAUUGGGUUUGACUUCUGUAACCUCUAAACUAGGUAGGUGUAAGUAACUUUUUUAUGACAUUGAGUGAAAAGUGUCAUAAUUAAAUAAAUUUUUAUGGCAUUUUGUGAAAUGCGACUAAGCCAAAAUCUUUUAAAACUAUCUAAUGGCAUUUUUUU